UUGCAGAUAGCUCAGUCUGGUAGAGCAUGAGAUUCCUGAUCUCUGGGUUGUGGGUUCGAGCCCCGAAUUGUGCGAA